GGUGUAACAGCAGUCCAAUUACCCCCCAACCCAAUUAAAAAAGGCCCUAAAACUAAAAACAUGGUAAUUACAAAACAAUUGGCCCUAAAACACGGAAAAUUCAAUACCCCCACCCACAUUGAAGUAACGUCACUUCUAUUCAAACCUUUCUUCUGCUCUCUUAUUUUCUCUCUCCUCUAGUUCAUAUUCUCUCACUAAAAAUCUGGAAAAAUCACAAUGGACCUAAGAGAUGAAAUGCAAAAUCAGAAGGAUCAUCCAAAGAAGAGAAAAACAAAAAAUGCUUCAAAAUCUACUGGAAAUCAAGAAGAUAUGCCGCUAAAUAAAAUGUUUGGCACCAAAAAGAAGAAAGUGGCAAAGAGUCCUACUGUAGAUCCGAAAUUACUCAAUGAGAUUUCGAAACAAGUUGUUGAAGAAGAGGAAAAUCAAAACAACAGUUAACGAUGAAGUCGAACCACCAAAAGAAGGAGAAAAACAACCACAAGAACGAUCAAAAGAUGCAAGAAAAGAAGGGGAAAAACAACCAGAAAAACCUUCUAAAGAAGCACAAAAGGUUCAAUCAAAAGCAACAGAGUUACCAAAAAAAAAAGGGUGAAGCAUAUUGCAACAAAAAAGAAAUCAUCAAACAACUGUUCGGAAGCCUCCUCAAGCAAGAGUAGAACAAGCAAAACUCAAAGACACAAAAAAACAAUGAGAAAGAUGGAGGUGAGAAAGAAAAGGAAGCUCUGAAAACUGAAAAAGUUAAGGUGGAGAAGGGGAAACAAAGUGAGAAAGUUGAUGGUGUAAAAAAUGAGAAAGCACAUAAAAAAAGAAAGAGAGAUGCAAAUGAAGAUGUACAUGAGGUGGUAAAACUUGAUGAUGCUGAAGAUUUGGAUGAUUAUGGUAAGUUGCAAGUGAGGGUUGGGCAUUUCAAAUUCAUGACAUUUGCAUCAAAUUUGAGCCUUUCUCAAAAGCAAGCAAUUAUUGACAUGGGAUUUGGAGCUUUACUCGAUGUAAAUCUUCCACAAAAUGACCAAUCAUUUUCUGCUUGGCUUAUGCAUUGUUUCAAAGAGAAUAGCCGCACACUUUAUCUUCCGUACAACAAAUCUAUUGUUGUUUGUGAAGAUGUUGAAGUUGUGUAUGGAAUCCCGAGAGGGGAGAAAGAAGUGAAGGAGGUAGAAGAUGAGGAACAAGAAGAGACUCCUUUGACUAGAUGGAGGAAAGAUUGGGGUGUUGUGUCUGGUAGCCCUAAAACACACAAUGUUCUGAAGAAGUCUGAGGAAGAAAAAGAGAAAAAGAUGGAAAUCAUGAAAGCAAAGAUGAACAGAAGGAAACUGGAAAUGAACACAGAACCUGCAAAAGUGAACAAUGGUGAAGUUGAUGAAAUCUUCAUUAUCUAUUUCAUUGUGUUGGCUGUAAAUUGCUUCAUGAAAAGCAGCCAAAGCAUACACUUGCACUACAAGUUUCUGUUCUCAAUUAAGAAUGUGUUUGAAAUCAAGGAAUACAAUUGGUGCAAGUAUGUCCUUGAUAGCUUAAUGGAUACAAGCAGUUCUUGGAAAUUGAAUCCAAAAGGGUUUUACAAAGGACCUUUGCCUUUUCUUCUGUUGUUUUACUUUGAUCGCAUUCAAAAGUAAAACAUCAUGCCACCAAGAACUCCUCCUAUCAUAUCUGUAUGAACAAAGGAUAUGGUGGUCUAAAGGAUGAAGUUGGAGAGCCAUGGAGUUGGAUUGGGUAAUAUUUUGCCUAGAGUUGAAAUCAAAAGGAAAACAACACAAGAAGAAUGUACUAAUAUACCAAUGGCCAAGGAGGAAUUUAUGGAAGAGUUUAUUAGUGUGGUCAGAAUUAUGGGUGGGAAUUGUGAAAAAUUGUGUGAAAUGAUAAAGCAUGCUGAAGAGCUUUUCCCAAAUAAUCUUCUUUACAAAACAGUGGGAGAUUAUAUGCAAAAGAAAUUUAAGGAUCCUUCAAAUCCUUCAAUUUUGAGUCUAGAUGAAGAAUUAUUUGGAACAGAUUCUUUCUUGAAUGCUUUAGACAAGGUUGAAAAGGAGUAUUUGGAGAAAGUACAAGCUGAAAAGAAAGCAAGAGAAAGAAGAGGCAAAGAGGAAGAAGAAAGUAAGAGAGUCAUUCGAUCCACAAAAUGCUUAGAAUUUAGGGAUCGACAAAGAACAAACUCCUAGUCCAAUGGUUCAUCCAACUGAGACACAAAUUGGACAAAACAUUGAUUUGAACCUCGGGGCUAGGUAUGGGAGGGUCAAGUAGUGCAGGUGUGGAGCAGGAGCAACCGGUGAUUGAAGCAUCGGAAUUUGAUCAUAUGUUCAAAACUCAAGACCCUACAUUUGAGGACAUUUUGAACAACCCAUUGAAUCCAGAAUUUCAAUAUGCAGGAUCUAAAGGAGAAUCGAAAAAUCCAGGAAAUGUGUCAAAGGACAAAACAGCAAGGUGAAUAAAAAAAAUAAAAAAAAACCCGUUUACAUAAUUUUGACCUUUUAUAAACUAACAAUGUUAUUUUAUGUAGGGCUGGCAAAAGCUGACCCAACCCGACAACCCGACCCAAACCCAACCCGAAAUAAAUGGGUUUUGAAAGAGAUUUUCAACCCGUUUAUGUAAUUGGGUCAACCUGAACCCGACCUGAAGUUAAAUGGGUCGGGUGCAGGUUGGAAAUCCCAACCCGAAACCAACCCGCCUAAACCCAUUUAAUUAAUUGGGUUGGUUUCAGGUCGGGUCAACCCGAACCUAACCCACCUAAACCUGUUUACCAGCCCUAAUUUUAGUUAUUUACACCCUAACUUUUAAAUAUGGGCUAAGCCCAAAUAUCUAACCACAAAAAUGAAAAACCCUAAGCUUUGUUCUUUAUUCACGCCGCUUCCCCAAUUCCCCUCUUUCACUCAUUCUCUCUCCUCUCUCUCUCUUUCAUCUCUCUUCUCUCUUGUUUUCAUAUUUUUUUCCAUGAAAAUUGUUUAUUAAAGCUUGUGAAUCUUCAUCUCAACAUUGUCAAAGAUGGUUGAUACUUGAUUGUCCUCUUCCUCCUUUACCCGUUGAACUUGCUGGUUAUGAAGAAUCAGAUGAUGAAGUUACUAAUUGGCAAAUAUUGAAUUUCUGUUAUAUGUAUUUUGGAACUCUUGGAACUUUUUAGUGUUGUAUAAUUGUACUAUAAACUAUGCAGCAAGUGGCUUUGAAUUUGCAUUUUACA